CGUUUUGCUCUGCCACAGGGUCACACGGUCACCAGGUGCUGCCUUACCGCAGUGCUGAAAGCAACCUCAGCCAAAUGAAGCUUCUCUCUGGACAGACUCAGCGUCCUCAGCUGGAGAGGAAUGAGGUUGGUUUUGCACCUCUCUUCUUUGGUGUAGCCAGUGAAGAUUAAAACCAUGGUCCUCAGAAAGACGCUUUGGAUGAUAUUUCCAAGACAUAGCUGUGAGCCCAGAUGGCUUGAAGAUAAUACCAUCUGGAUGUUAUUCCAAACAGGAAGAAGACAGAGCUGCUCUCUCCCAAAUUCCCUUUAUGUGAAACCCCAGAAAGGACUCCGUGACUACGAUCUCCCUCCUUGGCUCCUCACGUGUGCAGCAAAUGGGCGCUGUGACUUCAUGCCUGAGAUGCUACUGCAGUUCACAGAAACCAGACCGUAUUCUGGGAGCUUUACUGCUUGGAGAUCUCUGUCAACAAAUAUGCCAGCUUGUCGCUCUUCAGUCUCACCUGCUGCAAAGUCCUAGGACAUGGAUGCAGCCAUAUUCUCUGCCACUUUAUAACACAAAUGGCCUCGCCUCUGUUCCCCUACACAUUGCUCCUCAUUUCCAGCAUCAGAAUGGCC